GAGUUUGAUCCUGGCUCAGAGUGAACGCUGGCGGCAGGCCUAACACAUGCAAGUCGAACGGCAGCGCAGCAGUAGCAAUACUGUGGGCGGCGAGUGGCGGACGGGUGAGGAAUACAUCGGAAUCUACCUUGUCGUGGGGGAUAACGUAGGGAAACUUACGCUAAUACCGCAUACGAACUACGGUUGAAAGCGGCGGACCGCAAGGCGUCGCGCGAUUGGAUGAGCCGAUGUCCGAUUAGCUAGUUGGCGGGGUAAAGGCCCACCAAGGCGACGAUCGGUAGCUGGUCUGAGAGGAUGAUCAGCCACACUGGAACUGAGACACGGUCCAGACUCCUACGGGAGGCAGCAGUGGGGAAUAUUGGACAAUGGGCGCAAGCCUGAUCCAGCCAUGCCGCGUGUGUGAAGAAGGCC
rnacentral:rRNA from 1 species